AUCUUCGGCAAUGGGCGCAAGCCUGACCGAGCGACGCCGCGUGUGCGAUGAAGGCCCUUCGGGUUGUAAAGCACUGUCGAGAGGAAGCAAGCCGCAAGGUUGAGCGACCUCUGGAGGAAGCACGGGCUAAGUUCGUGCCAGCAGCCGCGGUAAGACGAACCGUGCGAACGUUGUUCGGAAUCACUGGGCUUAAAGGGCGCGUAGGCGGGAUGGCAAGUCGGAGGUGAAAGCCCCCAGCUUAACUGAGGAAGUGCCCUCGAUACUGCCGUUCUCGAGAGAGGUAGGGGCGUGUGGAACUUCCGGUGGAGCGGUGAAAUGCGUAGAUAUCGGAAGGAACGCCGGUGGCGAAAGCGAUGCGCUGGACCUUUUCUGACGCUGAGGCGCGAAAGCCAGGGUAGCGAACGGGAUUAGAUACCCCGGUAGUCCUGGCCCUAAACGAUGGGUACUGGGUUGCGGGUCAGACAUGGACUCGCAGCCGAAGCAAAAGUGGUAAGUACCCCGCCUGGGGAGUAUGGUCGCAAGGCUGAAACUCAAAGGAA
rnacentral:rRNA from 1 species